rnacentral:rRNA from 1 species
UGGGGAAUAUUGGACAAUGGGCGACAGCCUGAUCCAGCAAUGCCGCGUGAGUGAAGAAGGCCUUAGGGUUGUAAAGCUCUUUUACCCGGGAUGAUAAUGACAGUACCGGGAGAAUAAGCUCCGGCUAACUCCGUGCCAGCAGCCGCGGUAAUACGGAGGGAGCUAGCGUUGUUCGGAAUCACUGGGCGUAAAGCGCACGUAGGCGGCUUUGUAAGUUAGAGGUGAAAUCUUACAGCUUAACUGUGAAACUGCGUUUGAUACUGCAAACCUAGGGUAUGGAAGAGAGUGAUGGAAUAUCUGGUGUAGCAGUGAAAUGCUUAGAUAUCAGAUAGAACACCAAUGGCGAAGGCAGUCACUUGGUCCAUUACUGACGCUAAAGCACGAAAGCGUGGGUAGCAAACA